rnacentral:rRNA from 1 species
AACGAACGCUGGCGGCAUGCCUAACACAUGCAAGUCGAACGAGAUCCUUCGGGGUCUAGUGGCGCACGGGUGCGUAACGCGUGGGAAUCUGCCCUUAGGUUCGGAAUAACAGUUAGAAAUGACUGCUAAUACCGGAUGAUGACGUUAAGUCCAAAGAUUUAUCGCCUGAGGAUGAGCCCGCGUAGGAUUAGCUAGUUGGUGUGGUAAAGGCGCACCAAGGCGACGAUCCUUAGCUGGUCUGAGAGGAUGAUCAGCCACACUGGGACUGAGACACGGCCCAGAAUCCUACGGGAGGGAGCAGUGGGGAAUAUUGGACAAUGGGCGCAAGUCUGAUACAGCAAUGCCGCGUGAGUGAUGAAGGCCUUAGGGUUGUAAAGCUCUUUUACCCGAGAUGAUAAUGACAGUAUCGGGAGAAUAAGCCCCGGCUAACUCCGUG